AUACCUUCUCGGCCUUUUGGCUAUGAUCAAGUGUAGUAUCUGUUCUUAUAAGUGUGACAACUUAUAUGUUAGCUACUGCUAACUUGAACUGUCACAACAAUUUUUCACUGGGGAGUCGGUGGCUUUGGUCUCUGACCAUGCUCCGACUCGACUGUCGCCUCAGCCCUGCACGACUUGCUGAGUGCGGCGGACCCGAG
rnacentral:snRNA from 19 species